rnacentral:rRNA from 1 species
CACGCCGUAAACGAUCAAUACUAGGUGUGCGGGGACUGACCCCCUGCGUGCCGGAGUUAACACAAUAAGUAUUGCACCUGGGGAGUACGAUCGCAAGGUUGAAACUCAAAGGAAUUGACGGGGGCCCGCACAAGCGGUGGAUUAUGUGGUUUAAUUCGAAGCAACGCGAAGAACCUUACCAGGGCUUGACAUCCUACUAACGAAGUAGAGAUACAUCAGGUGCCCUUCGGGGACAUUGGUGACAGGUGG